GCUUGGGAACAUACAGCCUUUGAUAGCUUAGGCUUGUAUCACUUUGCCACAGCAACCUGUAAAAGAGUUUGAACCAUGUCCAUCUUGGCCACCGUUGCAAAUGUUUCUUCAUAAUCUUCACCCUCUACUUGAUGAUUUCCACAGCAGCAAGUCUAGCUUUGUACCUCUCUAUAGUCUCAUCUGCAUUAUAUUUAAUAGUGAACACCCACUUGCUACCAAUGGCUUUCUUCCCUGGUGGCAUGUCAACUAUAUCCCAUGUUCUACUUAUUCAAGUGCAUCCACAAAGCAAGGUCAAUUUCAAGAUACAAGAAUCAUUAACUUCGAAGUUGAAGAUCGAAAUGAUGAGGAAUUAAGAGAUGUUCUUAAGGUGGAGUACUGAGCCAGAAGCAUAAACAGAAGUAGAGACAUGUCAAGCAAGCGAACGUGCAUCAGAUGAUUUAAACGAGUAUCAAUAAUCAAGAGACAGAUCUCAGAGGUAGAUCAUUCCACCACUAAAACUCAGUGAUUACAAAUGUGGAUAUAUGGGACAUGAAGAAGAAUCUGAAGAGAUUAUAUGUAUGAUCGUUGAAGAUGGAGGUACAUAACCAAAUAGCUAUCAAGAAGCCAUGAGUGAUCCAUAUAGUGAAAAAUGGAAUGAAGCUGCCAAGGAAGAAAUUGUUUCACUAAAGAAGAGUGGCACUUGGGUAUUGAUUGAUAAACCAAAGGACCAAAAGACUAUAGGCUGCAGGUAGAUCUUCAAAAGGAAAUCAUGUAUAGUUGGAGUAGAGGAUCAAAGAUUCAAGGCCAAACUAAUAGCAAAAGGUUACUCGCAGAAGGAAAUCAUCGACUAUAAGGAAAUAUUUGCUCAAGUAGUCAAGCAUGUGUCUAGUAGAUACAUGUUGUCUGUUGUAGCUCAUUUUAACUUAGAACUGCAACAGAUAGACGUCAAAACGGCAUUCUUACAUGGAAACAUUGAAAAAUACACUGUGAUGGAUCAGCAUGAAGGUUUUGUGGACAAACAUCAUCCUGAGAAAGUCUAUAUACUGAAAUGAUCACUUUUAUGGGCUGAAGCCGUCACCUUAGCAAUGGAAUAAGCGCUUUGAUGACUUCACGAAGAUGAAUCAAUAUCAAAGUAGAUGAUAUCUUGAUUGCCGCUAAAAAUGUCAGUCAUGUUUGGAGUUUGAAGAUACUUCUAAACAGUGAAUUUGAUAUGAAAGACCUCAAAGAUGCAAAGAAAAUUUUUGCAUGAAAAUUGAAAUAUAUAGAAGUAAGGGGUGCUUAUGGAUAUCUCAAGAAGGUUAUCUCGGAAAGAUACUAAGUAAUUUCAGAAUGGAUCAGUGUAACUCUGUUGCAACGCUUGUGGGAGCACACUUCAAGCUGAAGACUACAACAAAACAUGAAAUCAGAGAACAUGCAGAUCAAAUGGAAGGUAUAACUUAUCAAAGCGUAGUGGGAAGCAUUAUGUAUGUUAUGAUAGGCACUCGUCCUGACUUAGCAUAUAAGGCUGGUCUUGUAAGUCGUUUUACGUGCAAUCCAAUUCAAGAGCAUUGGAGAGCAGUCAAGUGGGUGUUAAGAUACAUUCAAGGAUCGCUUGAUACAAAACUGUGCUACAAGCGUAAAGGAGAGUUCAUUGUUAAGGGUUACUGCAAAUCUCAACUUCAACAAGUUGUAAUCCUUUCAACAGCAGAAGCAUAAUACAUAUCUCUAUCAGAAGCCAUUAGAGAAGGGGUAUGGUUGAAGGGUUUAGCUGAAGAACUAGGUUUUGGUCAAGAGACGGUAGAGAUAUUAUGCAAUUCUCCAAGCACCAUUGCUCUCUCCAAGAAUGUUGUGCUUCAUGAGAGAAUAAAGCAUGUCGCACAGAAGUAUCAUUAUGGUCGAGAUCUUAUAAGCAAAGGGAUAGUAGCAGUUUUGAAGAUUGCCACAUCUUACAACCCCGCAUAUAUAUUUACUAAAAUUUUACUGGUUUACAAGGUGAAGGAAGCAUUGAAGAUGCUUCGUAUUGGUAAGGAAUGAGCUGAGACUAUCCUGAAAAGGAUGUCGAGUCUGGUAGAGGAUUCGUGUGUUCGGUUUAGAGCACAAGGAGAUUGGUGUAGAGGUUGAUAUAUGCUUCAAGUGGAGAUUUGAAGGUUUAUAGUCAUCAGAUCAGCCACAAGUAGAAGACUCAAGCUGAAAGGAAGUUAGUCUUUCGUAGAGUCUUAAGUGUCUUAGAUAUUCUGUUUGAGUCUAAGAAUUUGUAACAUAUUAGUCGGUUAGUACAUGUGUCGUCCCUUCACAUGCUGAGUACUAUUAAGCACGUGCAAAUAACUGAAUUAUAAAGCUAUAAGUCUGAGUCUUGAGCUGAUUAGAGUUGACUUAGGGUUUUUGUUAUCAGCCAAGAUUGAGAAGGAAAGACACAAAGAACGAUUGUACAAGGAACUCGGUUGAGAGCAAGAUUAGUAUGUUGCUGGUUCAAUUCCAUCUCCCGUGGGUGUGAGCUAUAGAGGCAUUUCCUCGUUAACAGAGGGGUGUGAUGAACACCGGAUCAAUAGUUGCUUGUGUUUGUGUCGAUUGACUCGAGUUCGGUAAAUCAAGAUUAGGUUUCUAUCUUCACACCAAAAUUAUAGUGUCUCUAAGAUAUAAUACUAGGUUUGUAUUUAUGCCGUUGAUAAUUCUCCGAUACUUAUUUUAACUAAUUGAAUGUAAGAGUUGUAUCAUAUUAAUAUAAUAGUUUUUUUUUUUGCAUAAUAUGUUCGUUUAUCAAAACUUAUUGAUAAUGAACGAAGGGAAAUUGCCACUAAUACCACUUUUCUAAUACCACUUUUCAACUUUACACUUUUCAAAUUUACCCUUAAAAUUUUAAUAGGCAAAAUACUAUUGUACCCCUCAUUUCAUUAAUUUAACCUAGAUCUAUUUCUUCUCCAAAUGUCUGUCACGAGAUGAAAUUGAGACGAGCUCCAACGAGAUCUCCGGCGAACUUGGCGAUCUCCGGCGAACUCGGCGAACUCGGCGAUCUCUGACGAACUCGACCGACGAACUCGACCGACAAUCUACGGCGAAUUCGGCUAUCUUCAAGUUUGUUUGUUUGUUGUUAUUUUGUUGUUAUUUUGUCAAUAGAGAGAGUAUUGGCGUGAGGAUGAGCUCUUAUCGUUCAUGAGCUAUGCAGUUUAGUAUCCGACUCCGUUCUAGACCUCUCCCGCGGUUUGCUCAAGCUCCAAUCCACACUCGAAGGGUUUUUGAUUCUUAUCGGUUACGAACAGAAACAUGGGGAUUGGAAGUUCAGUUCGACCGAGAAUCAUCAGUUUGUGAGGGUAUGUGACACAAAUAGCCGUUCCUGAUCAUUUUAGCUUGAUUUCUCAUAAUCGAUCAAUUUCUGGGAAAGAAGACGAAGCUUUUCUCAUGAGGUUUUAAAAAUUUCAAAUUUAUAAAACCUUAUAAAUAUUUAUCGAUGAGGAACAUAGUGUUAUGUUUUAUCGUUUUUUGAUAUAUCUUGUUGAUUCUUCAAGCUUUAAGUAAUUUUGUGUUGAAUAUAUUUUGACUCCUACUAACUUAUAUUUCUUUCUUCUCCAGAUCUUUGUCCUGCGAUCAAAUUGGGAGUUGCUCCAAACGAAAUCACCGGUGAACUUUGCGAUCUCUGGCGAACUUGGUGAGAUGUAGACGCGAUCCAGCGAACAGAGGAAGAAGAUUGUCGAAGGUGUCAAGAUAAUUUGAGAAGGAAGCAUCAAAGAAGGAAUUAAGCUUGGUUAGGUUGGCGUUGAAUGCCCUGCAAGGUGUUCUUCUCUUAUUAGCAUACAGAAGCUCUCUUAUGGAUUAUGCUCUGAGCCAGCUGAUAGGAAAACCCACAAAAGUCUGAGCUUGUGGCAUCGGUUAUCAAGCACUGACGCCUUAGGAGAGAUUCUUUGAAACAUAGGCUAUUUUGGUUCUUUGGUCUUUCUUCUCCAUAACUUCGUAGACCCAUUUCAUGAACUUCAAGUUGGAAGUUGAGGGACAGGGGGGAGCUGUAAAGUAGGUGAAAAUGAAGAAGCCAAUAACAAGAGCCACUAUACUCUUGUUAAUCAGGCUUUUGCUAUUGCUGUGAGAAAGGUCCUAGAAGGCUAUAUAUGUGGUAUGUAUACAUUAUGUGCAUCUGCAGAACUGAGGCGUUCAUCUAACAUUGUAGUUUUGUAAACCCUUUAUAAAUUUUUAUAAACCAUUAUAAAUUCAGAAACCCCAAGUAUCUCUCAAUGCUCAAUCAUCUCAAUGCUCAAUUAUUACCUUUUUAUAAGGCCUUAUAAAAGAAACUGUAAAAGAAUGAUGUUCUUUAAUAAGCAAAGAAAUGAUGUAAAGUUGGUUAAUUUGGUGAUUUAUAAACUCUUAUAAAUAGAUUUAUAAACCUUGUAAAUUAAUUUAUGAACACUUAUAAAUAAAUGUAAAAACUCUUAUAAAUAGCUUAUAAUUUCUUGUAAAUAGUUUUAUAAACCCUUUUAAAUAGUUUUAUAAAUAUUUAUAUAUGUUUUAAAAACUUUAUAGAUGGUUGAUACAAGGUUUUAUAAGCUCUUAUAAAAUUUAUAAGUGAUUUUAUAAAGGUAACCCACUUGAGGUAUUUAUUACAAUUUUUAUAUUUAUAAAGCGUUAUAAAAGAAACCGUAAAACACAAUAUAUAUAUAUAUAUAUAUGUAUUUAGCCUUAUGUUUUUAUGUUUUCAUAGGGAAACACAAUUUUCAAGAAGAUUGGAGUUGCAGAAAGAGAGAGAAGACACGUGCUUUUAUAUGUAAUAUAUAUGUUCUUGACACAUAUAAAAGAAACAAGACACAUGUCUUUCGGUAAUAUAUAUGUGUAACACGUGUUCUUAUAAGUGAUUGUAAGCUGUAAAUCAUUUGUACUUUACAUUUACUCUAGUUUCUUUUUUCAGAAAAUUAGUAACGAGCAUCUUCAUGUAUUUAUAUCACCGAUUUUACUUUUUAAACUUUUUAAACUUAUAAUAGCUUUAUGAAUAUUUACUUCUAAAUGUAAAGAUUUAUAAAAUCUUAUAAAAGAUUUAUAAACUCUUGCAAAAGAUUUAUAAACUCUUGAAAAAUAUUUAUAAAAUCUUAUAAAUAUUUAUAUAUGUUUUAAAAACUUUAUAGAUGCUUGAUAAAAGGUUUUAUAAGCUCUUAUAAAAUUUAUAAGUGAUUUUAUAAAGGUAACCCGCUUGAGGUAUUUAUUACAAUUUUUAUAUUUAUAAGGCCUUAUAAAAGAAAUCGUACAACAAUAUAUAUAUAUUUAGCCUUAUGUUUUAUGUUUUCAGAGGGAAACACAAUUUUCAAGAAGAUUGGAAUUGCAGAAAGAGAGAGAAGACACGUGUUUUUAUAUGUAAUAUAUAUGUUCUUGACACAUAUAAGAGAAACAAGACACAUGUCUUUCUGUAAUAUAUAUGUGUAACACGUGUUCUUAUAAGUGAUUGUAAGCUGUAAAUCAUUUGUACUUUACAUUUACUCUAGUUUCUUUUUUCAGAAAAUUAGUAACGAGCAUCUUCAUGUAUUUAUAUCA